rnacentral:lncRNA from 1 species
AAAGGAACACGGGUCAGAUUCGGACAGCGACUUCAAAGUCAUUUGUAGAAGGCUAUAACAUUUGGACGACGGAUACACUGGAUGAUAAGGUAGAUGAUCCAGCCUUAUCUUGGAAUGACACGACGGGUGUUGAACACAGAAAACGUACCGUGUACAAGAAACAAUUGGAGUUUAUGAAAGCUUCAAGGAAUUAAUC